rnacentral:rRNA from 1 species
UGGGGAAUAUUGGACAAUGGGCGCAAGCCUGAUCCAGCCAUGCCGCGUGAGUGAUGAAGGCCUUAGGGUUGUAAAGCUCUUUCGCCGACGAAGAUAAUGACGGUAGUCGGAGAAGAAGCCCCGGCUAACUUCGUGCCAGCAGCCGCGGUAAUACGAAGGGGGCUAGCGUUGUUCGGAAUCACUGGGCGUAAAGCGCACGUAGGCGGAUUGUUAAGUCAGGGGUGAAAGCCUGGAGCUCAACUCCAGAACUGCCCUUGAUACUGGCAAUCUCGAGUCCGGAAGAGGUAAGUGGAACUGCGAGUGUAGAGGUGAAAUUCGUAGAUAUUCGCAAGAACACCAGUGGCGAAGGCGGCUUACUGGUCCGGUACUGACGCUGAGGUGCGAAAAGCGUGGGGAGCAAACAGGAUUAGAUACCCUGGUAGUCCACGCCGUAAACGAUGGAGGCUAGCCGUUGGCGAGCAUGCUCGUCAGUGGCGCAGCUAACGCAUUAAGCCUCCCGCCUGGGGAGUACGGUCGCAAGAUU